GAUGAACGCUAGCGGCAGGCCUAACACAUGCAAGUCGAGGGGCAGCACAGAAACAGCAAUGUUUUGGUGGCGACCGGCGGACGGGUGCGUAACGCGUAUGCAACCUACCUUUAACAGGGGGAUAACGGAGAGAAAUUUCCACUAAUACCCCAUAACAUCGAUCAAGGCAUCUUGAUUGGUUGAAAACUCCGGUGGUUAAAGAUGGGCAUGCGUUGUAUUAGGUAGUUGGUGAGGUAAUGGCUCACCAAGCCUACGAUACAUAGGGGGACUGAGAGGUUAGCCCCCACACUGGUACUGAGACACGGACCAGACUCCUACGGGAGGCAGCAGUGAGGAAUAUUGGUCAAUGGGGGCAACCCUGAACCAGCCAUGCCGCGUGCAGGAAGACGGCUCUAUGAGUUGUAAACUGCUUUUAAACAGGGAUAAAGCACAGUAUGUAUACUGUGUUGAAGGUACUGUAAGAAUAAGGAUCGGCUAACUCCGUGCCAGCCGCCGCCGUAA
rnacentral:rRNA from 1 species